rnacentral:rRNA from 1 species
AGAGUUUGAUCAUGGCUCAGAACGAACGCUGGCGGCGUGCCUAACACAUGCAAGUCGAACGGGAUUAAGGGGCUUGCUCGUUAAUUUAGUGGCGCACGGGUGAGUAACGCGUGGAUAACCUACCCUGGUAUCCGGGAUAACAUCUCGAAAGGGGUGCUAAUACGGGAUAAGCCCACGGGGUCUUCGGACCCUGCGGGAAAAGGUGGCCUCUAUAUAUAAGCUACUGUAUCAGGAUGGGUCCGCGUACCAUUAGCUAGUUGGUGGGGUAAAGGCCUACCAAGGCGACGAUGGUUAGCUGGUCUGAGAGGAUGAUCAGCCACACUGGAACUGAGACACGGUCCAGACUCCUACGGGAGACAGCAGUGGGGAAUUUUGCGCAAUGGGGGAAACCCUGACGCAGCAACGCCGCGUGAGUGAUGAAGGCCUUCGGGUCGUAAAGCUCUGUCAGAGGGAAAGAAAUGUAUGGUGGUUAAUACCCAUUAUACUUGACGGUACCCUCAAAGGAAGCACCGGCUAACUCCGUGCCAGCAGCCGCGGUAAUACGGAGGGUGCGAGCGUUGUUCGGAAUUAUUGGGCGUAAAGCGCGUGUAGGCGGCUCCUUAAGUCUGAUGUGAAAGCCCCGGGCUCAACCUGGGAAGUGCAUUGGAAACUGGGGAACUUGAAUACGGGAGAGGGUAGUGGAAUUCCUGGUGUAGGAGUGAAAUCCGUAGAUAUCAGGAGGAACACCGGUGGCGAAGGCGGCUACCUGGACCGAUAUUGACGCUGAGACGCGAAAGCGUGGGGAGCAAACAGGAUUAGAUACCCUGGUAGUCCACGCCGUAAACGAUGAGUACUAGGUGUUGCGGGUAUUGACCCCUGCAGUGCCGCAGCUAACGCAUUAAGUACUCCGCCUGGGUAGUACGGUCGCAAGACUAAAACUCAAAUGAAUUGACGG